AACAGGGUUUCUCUGUGUACCUUUGGCUGUCCUGGAACUUACUCUGUAAACCAGGCUGGCCUCGAACUCACAAAAACCCACCGGCCUCUGCCUCCUGAGUGCUGGGAUUAAAGUCGUGUGCCACCACCGCCUGACACACGCAUCUUGAAGUUUCGAAUGAUCCUCAAACCCAGGAAGGUACAGCAAAUUUGCCUGCUCUCAAAUCACCCUGAGCUGACUGUCCCUCAGAACCCAAGUGGCUCACCUCUCCAGUGCUGGGGCUGUGUUGGAUGAAAGGAAGUAAAGACUGUCAGAAACAGUCUUAGCUGGAGAAUGGAGGAGCUUCUACCCAAGGGACAAGCCUCAGCCAACUCUUCUCCAAAAAGACCUUCUGGGCAGACACCCAUGCCCUUACCCGCGGCGCGUGAAUACGAAGGGAGGCACCGCUCGGGCUCGAGACCGCACCAAAG